UUACUGUAAGAAUAAGCACCGGCUAACUACGUGCCAGCAGCCGCGGUAAUACGUAGGGUGCAAGCGUUAAUCGGAAUUACUGGGCGUAAAGCGUGCGCAGGCGGUUCGGAAAGAAAGAUGUGAAAUCCCAGGGCUCAACCUUGGAAUGGCAUUUUUAACUCCCGAACUAGAGUGUGUCAGAGGGAGGUGGAAUUCCGCGUGUAGCAGUGAAAUGCGUAGAUAUGCGGAGGAACACCGAUGGCGAAGGCAGCCUCCUGGGAUAACACUGACGCUCAGGCACGAAAGCGUUAAGUGAUCCACA
rnacentral:rRNA from 1 species